GUCACCCGCUUGCGCCUUGCAGAUGUAAAGUUUUCCGUCAGACACAGUGGCGGUGAUCAGUUGAUGCUUACCACCCUCGUCUCCAUCGGCCGUCCUCGUUAACACAGACAACGAGUAGUAUGGUUUUCCUCCGAUCACCGGAGUUGCAACCUCCAAUAUAUUUGCUGUUGCAACUGCAUCUUGUUCAAAUCCUCCCUAAACAUACACACAUCAUCAAAAGCCAAGUUUCAUUUCACACAUAUAAAUUAAUGAAGGUGAAGGUGGUUACCUCAGAUGCGGUUUUCCCGAAGUAAGCUUGUUUCCCAAGC
rnacentral:lncRNA from 1 species